UACGAAGGGGCUAGCGUUGCUCGGAAUCACUGGGCGUAAAGGGUGCGUAGGCGGGUCUUUAAGUCAGGGUGAAAUCCUGGAGCUCAACUCCAGAACUGCCUUUGAUACUGAGGAUCUUGAGUUCGGGAGAGGUGAGUGGAACUGCGAGUGUAGAGGUGAAAUUCGUAGAUAUUCGCAAGAACACCAGUGGCGAAGGCGGCUCACUGGCCCGAUACUGACGCUGAGGCACGAAAGCGAUGG
rnacentral:rRNA from 1 species